ACCUAUGGGGCGGGAUGGGAGUUCUAUGGGGCCUAAUGGGGCAGAAGGGGGUCCUAGGGUGUUCUAUGGGGCUCUAUGGGGCGGAAUGGGGGCCCUCUGGGCCAUAAUGGGUGUCCUAUGGGGCAGAAUGGGGCUCUAUGGGGCUCUAUGGGGUGGAAUGGAUGUCCUAUGGGGCCUAAUGGGGCUCUAUGGGGCGGGAUGGGGGCCCUAUGGGUCGUACUGGGUGUCCUAUGGGGCGGAAUGGGUGUCCUAUGGGGCAGAAUGGGUGUCCUAUGCGUGUGAGGGGCGCUAUGGGGCGCAAUGGGGCUCUAUGGGGCGGGAUGGGUGACCUACGGGGUUCUAUGGGGCUCUAUGGGGCGGAAUGGGGUCCUAUGGGUCAUAAUGGGUGUCCUAUGGGGUGAAAUGCGAUCCUAUGGGGCGGAAUGGGUGUCAUAUGGGGCGGAAUGGGGCUCUAUGGGGCAGAAUGGCUGACCUAUGGGGCGGAAUGGCUGACCUAUGGGUCAUACUGGGUGUCAUAUGGGGCUCUAUGGGGCGGAAUGGGGCCCUAUGGGUCAUAAUGGGUGUCCUAUGGGGUGGAAUGGGGCUCUAUGGGGCGGAAUGGGUGUCCUAUGGGGCGGAAUGGGUGUCCUAUGGGGUGGGAUGGGUGCCCUAUGGGUUAUAUGAGAUUCCCUAUGGGUUAUGUUGGGUCUCCUAUGGGUUGCAAUGGCUGCCCUGUGGCUUAUAUAGGGUGCGCUAUGGGGUCACACUGGGUGCCCUGUGGAUUAUAUGGGGUCUCCUAUGGGUUAUAUUGGGUUCCCUGUGGGGUCACACUGGCUGCCCUAUGGGUUAUAUUGCGUCUCCUAUGGGUUAUAUUGGGUCUCCUAUGGGUUGCAAUGGGUCUCCUAUGGGUUGCAAUGGCUGCCCUGCGGCUUAUAUGGGGUGCGCUAUGGGGUCACUCGGUGUGCCCUAUGGGUUAUAUUGGGUGCCCUAUGGGUUGUAUUGGAUUCCCUAUGGGGUCGCAAUGGGUGCCCUAUGGGUUCAAUUCGGUUCCCUAUGGGUUGCAAUGGCUGCCCUGCGGCUUAUAUGGGGUGCGCUAUGGGGUCACUCAGUGUGCCCUAUGGGUUAUAUGGGGUUUCCUAUGGGUUAUAUGGGUGUGCCCUAUGGGUUAUAUGGGGUUUCCUAUGGGUUAUAUUGGAUUCCCUAUGGGUUGUAAUGGUGCCCUAUGGGUUAUAUUGGGUCUCCUAUGGGUUAUAUGGGGUCUCCUAUGGGUUGCAAUGGGUCUCCUAUGGGUUGCAAUGGCUGCCCUGUGGCUUAUAUGGGGUGCGCUAUGGGGUCACACUGGGUGCCCUAUGGGUUAUAUGGGGUUUCCUAUGGGGUCACACCGGGUGCCCUAUGGGUUAUAUGGGAUUCCCUAUGGGUUAUAUUGGGUCUCCUAUGGGUUGCAAUGGGUCUCCUAUGGGUUGCAAUGGCUGCCCUGUGGCUUAUAUGGGGUGCGCUAUGGGGUCACACUGGGUGCCCUGUGGAUUAUAUGGGGUCUCCUAUGGGUUAUACUGGGUGCCCUAUGGGGUCGCACUGGGUGCCCUAUGGGUGAUAUGGGUGCCCUAUGGGUUAUAUUGGAUUCCUAUGGGUUCUAUGGGGUCUCCUAUGGGUUGCAAUGGCUGCCCUGCAGCUUAUAUGGGGUGCGCUAUGGGGUCACACUGGGUGCCCUAUGUGUUAUAUUGGGUUCCUUAUGGGGUCACACUGGCUGCCCUAUGGGUUAAAUGGGGUUUCGUAUGGGUUGUAAUGGGUGCCCUAUGGGUUAUAUGGGAUUCCCUAUGGGU
rnacentral:lncRNA from 1 species